AUAGUUUGACUACAACCCAGAGGCUCAUAUGCUGAAGGACUGGACCCCAGCUGGUGGUCCUUACUGAGAAGUGGUGGAGCCCUUAGGAGGUGGGAUCUAGUUGGAAGAGUCAUGACAAUUCCAGUGGAAGAGUUCAGAAAAUAGUUGGAACAGUGACAGUGCUGAUGGAGAAAGCAUAAUGAGACUUUCCAAGGCUCCUUGGAUUCAUCUGUCUAAUAGAAACAUUGGAAGAGGCACAGUAUGAAAGAAAUACCUGUUGAAAGAUACUUGAAUUUUGUGCUCUUUGGCCAGGAAAUUACAGAAAAGUAAACUAAUUAAAAGAAGACAAUCUUCAUGAAAAGUUCUUUAAAGUAUAAACUUUGCUUGUUUGUUAUUAUGAGUAUAGAUUUUUUGGAUAUGUUCUAUCAGUGUUUAUCUCAACAUAUGGCUAGAGGAGGGGAAGAAGAGGGGGGAACAGUUUAAGACUACAGAGAUGAACUGUUUUGAAUGUGCUGGGGAGAGAGGACUCUGGAUGUUUGACCAUUUUCUAUAGUCAUGGAGCUCAACACAGUUUACCAUUUGUAUAGGAAUCUUUUAGCUCUUGGAUGGAAAAAGCUCUUUCCUGUAAAACUUCACAGAAUUUCUGCUUCUGGCAGGGGCAACAUGGAUCCUGAGAGCUUGUGACACAGUUGUCCAAAUGGUCACCAAAUAAAGUGAGAAAAGUCUCAGCUGUUCAAAUACCAUGUUGUCAGUGUGUUCAUUACCCUAUUCACUUUGGAACCCACCUACUCAAGUAGUACCAAUCCCUCUUACUCUGCUCUGUCUUUCCUGUAGCACGUUACCUUUCAUUAUGUUUCCUGUUCACUAUCUACUUCCUCUUGUGCCCUGAGAUUUCUGUCUGCUAUGUUCUCUGAUGUAUCCCAGGAGAGUGCCUAGCACAUUGUGAUUAAUGAAUAUUUGUUGAACAAAUGAAUGAAUGGAUUUGGAUCUCAAAUCUUAGACAGCUUAGGAUUUUUUCUUGUGAACUAACACAGUACUCUCAAGUGAAAAGGGAAUAGUGCAGAAUAUAUUUAAGGUGGUCUUAAUUAAGGGUCCACUGAACAGAAAACUUAUGACGUGCAGUCAGAUGAUGGCAAUAUAAGAUGUAAGUGGAGUGAGUUGGGAAGAUGC